GCGACCCCAGGAUGGGCGAGGCCACCCGCUGAGUUUAAGCAUAUCAAUAAGCGGAGGAGAAGAAACUUACGA
rnacentral:rRNA from 1 species